AUAAUCUACACUACAAUUUCUCUUGAUCCAUAUGAAAGAUUUCUUUAUGUUUUUAUUUUCUUUUUUUCUUUAGAAUGGAAUCAGGAGACCAGGCAGGAGAGACGUCAAAAAAGAAAAAGAAAGGCCCAUAUAUGUCAUGGUCAGAUCAAGAAUGUUAUGAGUUAACGGCUAUAUUAGUUGAUGCUAUCAAACGAGGCUGGCGUGACAAAAAUGGUACCAUAAGCAAAACUACGGUAGAGAGAAAAAU
rnacentral:sRNA from 1 species